AUCCAGCUGACGAGUCCAAUUAGGAAGAAACGCGCGUCCUGUAU
rfam:Schistosoma mattheei strain Denwood, Zambia genome assembly, scaffold: SMTD_scaffold0002969